rnacentral:rRNA from 1 species
AUAUAAUUAAGCGGAGGAAAAGAAACUAACCAGGAUUCCCCUAGUAACGGCGAGUGAAGCGGGAAGUGCUCAGGAUGUGAAUCUGCGCUUUGCGCCGAAUUGUGGUCUGUAGACGGUGACAUUAUUGGCCGGGCCAAGUCCCUUGGAAAAGGGCAGCAGAGAGGGUGAGACUCCCGUCCGCCUGGCUGAAUGAGUCGCUAGUCAACGAGUCGAGUUGUUUGGGAUUGCAGCUCUAAGUGGGUGGUAAAUUCCAUCUAAAGCUAAAUAUUGGUGGGAGACCGAUAGCGUACAAGUACCGUGAGGGAAAGAUGCAAAGAACUUUGAAAAGAGAGUUAAAGAGUACCUGAAAUUGCUGAAAGGGAAGCGAAGGAAACCAGUGUUGAAUGUGUCAUACUUCCUGAUCCGCUUGCGGAUUGGGCGCUGUGUCAUGUUUUGGGUUGUCCUUGGUUGGUUGCGAUGGAAGAGCGCUAAAGGAGUUGACUUUGGUUGCUAGCAUUGCUUCUGACUGAGGAGGACGAAAUGGUUUUCUUUACCCCG